rnacentral:lncRNA from 1 species
UUUCUUUUUUGCAUCGGUGUAUAACUAAUCUGAGUCUUUGUCCCAUAGGCUGUCGUUGACUUUAAGGUCAUGUACGAGAACAUGGCCUAUCUUCUAUAGAACAAAGAGGCCAUGGAUGCCAAUUUACUGAUACUUCAAGAGGAAGAGUCUGAAUGAGCUAAGAGCCUCAAGAGUAAGCUUGAAGAGAAGUUGACCUCGCUGAAGGAGAAAAAUCAAAAUCUCCUAGACCUUCAGUGAAAGAUAAAUGAAUAGGAGAUGAAAAUUUUUGAUCUGCACAUACAGGCCAAGAAGAAACAAAGAAGUGGAGCUG